rnacentral:rRNA from 1 species
GAUGAACGCUGGCGGCGUGCCUAAUACAUGCGAGUCGAGCGAACAGACGAGGAGCUUGCUCCUCUGACGUUAGCGGCGGAAGGGUGAGUAACACGUGGAUAACCUACCUAUAAGACUGGGAUAACUUCGGGAAACCGGAGCUAAUACCGGAUAAGAUGUCGAACCGCAUGGUUCAAGAGUGAAAGACGGUUUUGCUGUGACUUAUAGAUGGAUCCGCGCCGCAUUAGCUAGUUGGUAAGGUAACGGCUUACCAAGGCAACGAUGCGUAGCCGACCUGAGAGGGUGAUCGGCCACACUGGAACUGAGACACGGUCCCGACUCCUACGGGAGGCAGCAGUAGGGAAUCUUCCGCAAUGGGCGAAAUCCUGACGGAGCAACGCCGCGUGAGUGAAGAAGGUCUUCGGAUCGUAAAACUCUGUUAUUAGGGAAGAACAAAUGUGUAAGUAACUAUGCACGUCUUGACGGUACCUAAUCAGAAAGCCACGGCUAACUACGUG